rnacentral:rRNA from 1 species
AAAGGUAAGCUACUAAGAGCGAAUGGUGGAUGCCUUGACUGGUAAAGGCGAUGAAGGACGUACUAGACUGCGAUAAGCUACGGGGAGCUGUCAAGAAGCUUUGAUCCGUAGAUUUCCGAAUGGGGCAACCCAAUGUAUAGAGAUAUACAUUACCUAUAUAGGAGCGAACGAGGGGAAUUGAAACAUCUUAGUACCCUCAGGAAAAGAAAUCAAUAGAGAUUGCGUCAGUAGCGGCGAGCGAAAGCGCAAGAGGGCAAACCCAGUGCUUGCACUGGGGGUUGUAGGACUGCAAUGUGCAAGAGGUAAGUUUAGCAGAACAUUCUGGAAAGUAUAGCCAUAGAGGGUGAUAGUCCCGUAUGCGAAAAACAAACCUUAGCUAGCAGUAUCCUGAGUAGGGCGGGACACGAGGAAUCCUGUCUGAAUCCGGGUCGACCACGAUCCAACCCUAAAUACUAAUACCAGAUCGAUAGUGCACAAGUACCGUGAGGGAAAGGUGAAAAGAACUGAGGUGAUCAGAGUGAAAUAGAACCUGAAACCAUUUGCUUACAAUCAUUCAGAGCCCUAUGUAGCAAUACAGGGUGAUGGACUGCCUUUUGCAUAAUGAGCCUGCGAGUUGUGGUGUCUGGCAAGGUUAAGCAAACGCGAAGCCGUAGCGAAAGCGAGUCUGAAUAGGGCGCUUAGUCAGAUGCUGCAGACCCGAAACGAAGUGAUCUAUCCAUGAGCAAGUUGAAGCUAGUGUAAGAACUAGUGGAGGACUGAACCCAUAGGCGUUGAAAAGCCCCGGGAUGACUUGUGGAUAGGGGUGAAAGGCCAAUCAAACU